rnacentral:rRNA from 1 species
UACGUAGGCAGCGAGCGUUGUUCGGAAUUACUGGGCGUAAAGAGCGUGUAGGCGGCCCGGUAAGUCCGCUGUAAAAGUCAAAGGCUCAACCUUUGAAUGUCAGUGGAUACUGCCGGGCUAGAGUCCGGAAGAGGCGAGUGGAACUCCUGGUGUAGCGGUGGAAUGCGCAGAUAUCAGGAAGAACACCAACGGCGAAGGCAGCUCGCUGGGACGGUACUGACGCUGAGACGCGAAAGCGUGGGGAGCGAACAGG